UUCGCACCAGUAUUAAGGGACCUCUCGUACAUUAUCUUGACGUUGCUCUCGUAAACCUUUCCUCUGUCUACCCUAUUCUCAAUCACCAACUGAGAAGCAACAGAAACCAUGCUUCCUCUUCCCUGCUUACAUUCCUUCUUUCUUGGUUGUCUUUCUCCAAUGCGCUUUUCAAAUUUUACCAAUGUCCCUGUUGAUUAUGUCCCAUCCAUUUGAUCGCUGCCCUCACUAGCAACACCCCAUCUCAUUCAUUACUUCUAAAUUAUUUAUUCAGCACUGUCAAUAAAUAUUUAAUCUCAACCUAACCAACGGUACAGCCUAAAAUGUUAAGUUCCUUCUCUUCCUCUUGGUAAAAUAGUUUGUUCCACUUUGCGAAUGUCUUGUAUAUCAGUUAGUUAGGCCUUUACUUCCGGUAAUAUUCUGGCUGAACCACGUGCUGAUUGUCUAUAGUGUAUUGUGAAGUGUAGGGUAUACAAAUAGCAACAGAUAUAGAUACAUAGAAAGAUGUCCUUGCGGAGUGUGUUGCUGUUUAACUAAACAACACUGUAUAUAUAUAUAUAUAUAUGAAACAGAGAUUAACUUUGCAGUGGAACGUAGAGAAAAGUAAUGAAAACAACUUCGGACCUGUAGAAUACAACCCCUCCCACUAAAGAUCUUACAAUUAGGAAUUGAACUGAAUGUCGGACAGAAUUACAAAUAAAGAAGCCCAACAUAUUCCGACAAAGCAUCCAAGAUACGAAUGGAAGAUGAAGGACAGCUUUGUAUCUUGAAAAGAGAAUUUUUAAAAGAAGCCAUGAUUAUUCUACUGUGAACUUACUGUGAAGUUUCCCUGGUCCAUUGAAGAAAAUAUCGACAUUACUAUUUGAGUGAAAAUUUUUGGAUAUUUGUUUAUUGGAUAACUUUAUUUCUGCAACAUAAAUAUCAAUGUCACAGUAUUGUAAAUGUUAAAAUUUCUGUAAAAAAGUAC
rnacentral:misc_RNA from 1 species